AGGGUUUGAUUAUGGCUCAGGAUGAACGCUGGCGGCGCACUUAAGACAUGCAAGUCGAACGGACUUAACCGAAAUAUUUAUAUUUUGGAGCGGUUAGUGGCGGACUGGUGAGUAACGCGUAAGCAAUCUGCCUAUUAGAGGGGAAUAACAGUGAGAAAUCACUGCUAAUACCGCAUAUGCCAUGAACAUCGCAUGAUGAAAAUGGGAAAGGAGUAAUCCGCUAAUAGAUGAGCUUGCGUCUGAUUAACUAGUUGGUGUGGUAAUGGCAUACCAAGGUAACGAUCAGUAGCCGGACUGAGAGGUUGAACGGCCACAUUGGGACUGAGAUACGGCCCAG
rnacentral:rRNA from 1 species